rnacentral:rRNA from 1 species
GACGAACGCUGGCGGCGUGCUUAACACAUGCAAGUCGAACGGAAAGGCCCUGCUUUUGUGGGGUGCUCGAGUGGCGAACGGGUGAGUAACACGUGUGUAACCUGCCCUUGACUUUGGGAUAACUUCAGGAAACUGGGGCUAAUACCGGAUCGGAUCUCCUGCUGCAUGGUGGGCGUUGGAAAGUUUCGGCGGUUGGGGAUGGACUCGCGGCUUAUCAGCUUGUUGGUGGGGUAGUGGCUUACCAAGCCUUUGACGGGUAGCCGGCCUGAGAGGGUGACCGGGGACAUUGGGACUGCGAGACGGCGCAGACUCGUACGGGAGGCAGCAGUGGGGAAUAUUGCACAGCGGGCGGAAGCCUGAUGCGGCAACGCCGGGUGCGGGAUGACGGCUUUCGGGGUGUGAACAGCUGUCGCCUGUGACGAAGCGUGAGUGACGGUAAUGGGUAAAGAAGCACCGGCUAACUACGUG